rfam:Oryza sativa Japonica Group DNA, chromosome 9, cultivar: Nipponbare, complete sequence.
AAAAAGAUAAACCUUAGGUUUCUGUAUCCAACAUUUGAUUGUCCGUCUUAUAUGAAAUUUUUUUAUAAUUAGUAUUUUCAUUGUUGUUAGAUGAUAAAACAUGAUUAAUACUUUAUACGUAACUUAUCUUUUUGAUUUUUUCAUAAUUUUUUCAAAUAAGACAGACGGUCAAACAUUGGACACGAAAACCUAGGGUUUGUCUUUUU